rnacentral:tRNA from 1 species
UGGUCAUCGGGCAGGCGCAACACCUGGCCGCUUUUCAGGCGGUUGAUAUUGCCGUCAACGAAGGCAUCCGGGUUGAGGUCCUGAAUGGCCAGC